rnacentral:lncRNA from 1 species
CUUUACUAACUGUAAGUGACCUGGAGCGUCGGCUAAAUGACUACAACGGUCAUGUAGAUCAAAAGGCACACAAUAAACUGCACAACACUGAGCAGAUUGCAUAACACAUUUAGUUCUGAUCAGGAGAAUGUGGAGAACAUGAGGAUGCACACCAGCAGUACAUUGUGGAGGAGAGAUGGUUGCUAGGGAACACCAUUAGGAGACAACACACGCAGUAUUCCUCACAGCUGAUGAGUCCAUUAAUUAGGAUCCUGGCGGUGUAGCGGUACCGUCUGGACCAGAAUCAUUAGUUACAUCUCCGACUUGAAAACAACGUGAGAGACAUCAGUUAACCUUCACACUUUGACCUUUGCACUGGCCCCCAAUUAUAGGAAACAACUGUCAGAAUGUGGCUAAGGCAGAAACAUUCAUCUGUAUUACCUCAUUAGGUCUAGUUCUUAUGUGUAACCCUUGACAACACAGUUCAUUCAUAAGAUGUAGGGCAUAGUCCUGCCACUAAGUGAGGUGUCGUUCAGACUCAGAGAAGAACAUUAGAUAUGUACAUCAUGAACUUGAGAAUAUUGCUGCUGGGCCCUUUAUCAGACUCAGAGCUGUUGUUGACAUCUGUGUUAGUGUGUGUACUGACGGUAUCUGUCUGGUGUGUUGUAGUAGUUUGCUCUCUUCCAGAAUUAGACAGACAGGUCUCCCUUCAAAAAUACAUUUCUAAUGGGAUCACCCAGUGUAAUUACAGAAUUUACAUUUGUGUAUGGUUAGGGUCCACAGUUAGUGUGAUACCACGCAAUCCACUCACACAGGGUAAUGAUCUAAAUAGGGAACACAUGCAAUCUCAGUCACUUCCCCUCAACCCAACAAGGGUUUUAUAGAACAUUUAAUCUAUCAUAUGAUAAAGGAUGAAUGAUUCACUGCACAUGCAAACCAGACACAAUCCAAGAAUUGAGGAUUGGGGGUUGAAAUCCGACCUCCAACCACAGGGUCAUGUUUGGGUUCAAACGUCACACCAAGCUGGGAUCACAACAAUCUAAAAGAAUCUUCUUCCAUCAAUGAUGCCUGAUUCCUCAUGUGUUUGUUUCUGGUGACCAUUUCAAUGGUUCUUCUAUGAGGCUAUAAUGUGUCCUCUGAAGUACUGCUAUGCAAAUGGAACCCUAUUCCCUAUAUAGUGCACUACUUUUGACCAGAGCCUUAUGGAACCAGGUCAAAAGUAGUGCACUAAAAUAGGGUAUAGGGUGCCAUUUGAGAGACAACCAUAUACCGCUGUGUUACGUGGGUAGGGUUGAUUGGGGUGAUUCUCAUUUGACUGGGAGGAGUGAGUGUCGUCAUGGAAGGUCAGUUCUCUGAAUGAAACAACGUAACAAAUCAAUUCUGCAAUUGGAAAAAACAAUGAAUCACAGAGGACACUCCACAUUCACUCCACAUUCUUCCAUGACACCUCUAUUAUAGACCUGUGUGUGUGUGUGUGUGUGUGUGUGUGUGUGUGUGUGUGUGUGUGUGUGUGUGUGUGGUUUAAGGUUGUCGUAGACUAUCACUUCAGCUUUAAUAGACAUCAGUACAGAUCAGAUGAUCAUGUAUAAUAGUGUAGUUAUGAGACACAGCUUCAACAGACAUCAGUACAGAUCAGAUGAUCAUGUAUAAUAGUGUAGUUAUGAGACACAGCUUCAACAGACAACACAACAACAGAAGCCGGUUUCAACGACACAUGUUCAUUCUACACCCUCCACCUACAGAGCCGCUGCAGGAGAAAGGAAUUAGGUGGUUCAACUUCAUUAUAAAGCUAAUACCAUGAACUCUUCAAUUCAAUAUGAUUCAAAACCACAUAUCAAACCAUUUACAUUUGAUCCCUUACAGAGCUCUUAAGAUAAGAACAAUGUGACAAUUUACAAAGUGCAUGAUUUCAUUCAUCUGUGAAAAAAGGCAUAAUUACAUGUUUUAUACCAUUCUACUUUACAUGCCUAGUUCAAGUUUGAAGCAUUUAAAUGAGGUGACACCAAUGUCAGUUACCUACAACAUAUUUACAGUAAUUACAUUAGAAUGAGUUGCUAAUAACAGACCCUGAAUCUCUGACAUACCAGUACAUGUUAAGUAGGUAGUUGUCAAAAACACCUUCCCUGCAAAACCUGCA